GGGUUGUGAGGUUAAGCGACUAAGCGUACACGGUGGAUGCCCUGGCAGUCAGAGGCGAUGAAGGGCGUGCUAAUCUGCGAUAAGCGCCGGUAAGGUGAUAUGAACC
rnacentral:rRNA from 3 species